CCGUUUGAGAACCGCCCCAUCCCCACCUCAUACCGCCCCACGUCUGAGAGCCAUUAAUAAAGGAAACCCUCAUCCUCUUCGAUCGCCCCCAAAUUCCAAAAAGAGAGCGAGAGAAGAUCGCAAACACUGAUGAAAAUAUGUACCGCAGCGCCGCCCGCCAACUCCUCCAAUCCGCCACCGCUGGCGGCAUCUGCGACCGGUCCCGCCCUCUCUCGACCGUCGACGUGGCGCCGGCACCGGUGGAGGACUCGACAUUCAUCAAGUCGUGGAAGAAGGCCGCUCCCCACAUCGACCCCCCUAAAUCGCCGCUCGACUUCAUGAAGGCUCGGUACCCGACGCCUGCUUCGAUCCCUUCAAAGCUCAAGUGCAACAUCGUGUUUUCAAAGUACUGAUCAAUAUCUCAGACCGAGAGGAGUUCAUCAUUAUUGCAGCUUUGAUUAUUAUUCUUAGCCAUAUGAGUACCCCCCACCUCAGGCGUACCCGCCGCCGCCUCAGCCCCACCUUCCGAAGCAUACUUCUUCUGCAUCGAUGCAUUGAGGCCGGGGCCGAGGUUAGAUAGGAGGUAUUCGCAGAUUCCCAAUAACUACUGAUCCCUCAAACAAGUAUAUCCUCUGAUUGCUCAUAGGGAUGAGCAAACUAUGAUCGGCCAUUGUCGUCGAGAAAAUCAAGGAGUCGCCCAGGAGAUUACACUUUAAAAAGAAUUACGACACAAUUUUAGUUACAAUUGCUGUUGCUGAUGAGAGAGACAAAUCCAAGAUAGAGGACUAUGAGGGUCAAGGGUGGUUUGAUUAAUUCCUCUAUAAGUUCUUGCCAAUAACUAUUGUUAUACACACACGCACACACAUGUGUGCACUCAUAUACAUGCAUCUAUCCAAACUCUAUAAAACUAGGCAAUAUUAGAAUCUGGUCGAGUUUUAGAAUUUUUUUGUAAUGGGUAAAACCUGGUCUAGAAGUGAAUCGAUUUACUUGUGUUCA